rnacentral:rRNA from 1 species
CCUACGUGAGGCAGCAGUGGGGAAUAUUGCGCAAUGGGCGAAAGCCUGACGCAGUGACGCCGCGUGAGGGAUGAAGGUCUUCGGAUCGUAAACCUCUGUCAGCAGGGAAGAACGGUCACUGUGCUAAUCAGCAGUGAAUUGACGGUACCUGCAAAGGAAGCACCGGCUAACUCCGUGCCAGCAGCCGCGGUAAUACGGAGGGUGCGAGCGUUAAUCGGAAUUACUGGGCGUAAAGCGCUCGUAGGCGGUAUGUCAAGUCAAGGGUGAAAUCCCCGCGCUCAACGUGGGAACUGCGUUUGAAACUGGCAAACUGGAGUGUGUGAGAGGAUAGUGGAAGUCCAGGUGUAGGAGUGAAAUCCGUAGAUAUCUGGAGGAACAUCAGUGGCGAAGGCGACUAUCUGGCACAUAACUGACGCUGAGGAGCGAAAGCGUGGGUAGCAAACAGGAUUAGAUACCCCAGUAGUC